GGCGGGGUAGCUCAGUGGUAGAGCAGCGGACUCAUAAGCCGCUGGUCGGAGGUUCGAUCCCUCUCCCCGCUA
rnacentral:tRNA from 1 species